AUUUUAAAUUGUCUGCAAAUUCUUAAUUCUCUUUGCUGAGAGCUCAGAGUUCUUUUUUUCUUUUUAUGUUUUUAAGAUUGACAGUAUCCUUGGCGUCAUUGCUAGGGAAUCAUCAUAUAGACCAAGUCCAUGUUAUUCUACAUUUGUUGGAAGACAACGUUUAUCUUUGGUAGUGCCCAUUCUAACUGGCUCUUAGCUUAUUUAAAUAUCUGUCUUGGACAAUUUAGGAAAGGAUGUCUUUUAUAUUUCCUUUGUAAGAAAGCAUUAAAAAAAAAUUGGGGAAAUAUAUUAUAUUUUAAGGAAAAAAAGAACCAUGAUUAAUAUGGGUUAGAACAUUGUUUUUGUAUGGGUAAGCUUUGAAACAAAUACAAUUAGCCUCAAUUGUAGAACCCUUAAGGAGAAGGAAGUUAUCAAGAACAUUUUUGAAAUUUUUUCUUGGAGUUUCUUCCAUUUCCAUCUUAUUUCUUCUCUCAAGACCAUCUUUUUCACCCAAUCAGUAAAAUUUAAAAUGCUAAAAUCUCACUGAAGGAAGGGCUUUCGUGCAGUAUGUUAUGUAGUUUGAAAGGUGAAUAUUGAUGAUUUUUUAUUAUUAUUAUUAUUAU
rnacentral:misc_RNA from 1 species